UUCUUCCUUCUCUGUGCCGACUGUGCGACUUUCUUCUCUGUUCGAAGAAAGCCUAGCAAAAAAAUUCACUUACCAGCCGGCAGCUGACUCUGACUGAUUUAGAUCUACACCCUCACUCCGUUCGUCGCCGACGCCGUUGCUCGCCGCAUCUGUGAGACUCCAUCGCCAUCGCCAUCGCCUUAACAAGUCCCAAGUCCCAAAUCGAAGCUGCUCUCUGCCUCUCCGGCCUCCGCCAGUCCGCCGCGCUCUACGUCUCCUGUCGGCUGUGUCCUGCCGUGCUGGUUCAUCGCUGCCGAGUGUCGAAGACGAAGCACCAAGAUCUCACUAGUUCAUCGCUGGUUCAUCAGUGCUCAUCUCUGGCUCACUUAGUCGGGCAGAAUCUUUGUCAAGAAAAUGCAAAGUGGCACUAGACAUUCAACGAGUAGCUCAAGAUUAGAAGGCAAUGUCGAAGGAGUUGGAAGCCAAGACAAUCAAACAAUUCGACUUGCCAAAGCUUUGAAGAUUUAUGUUUCUAAAUCUAGAUUAGCUCAUUAUUUGGACCUUGUUAAUUUAUGAGACGUAACUUAUUAUGUAUUGUGGAGUAUGUUUAUAUUUUAAAGCCUUUUUCUUUCAUUUGCUGUAUGACUAUUGUGUGAGCAGGCUGGCCGCUGGUUAAUGACAUGUUAAUGUGUAGGAUAAAUGUCUA